UACAUGGGGUGCAAACGUUGCUCGGAAUUAUUGGGCGUAAAGCGCACGUAGGCGGUUUGUUAAGUCGGAUGUGAAAUCCCUCGGCUCAACUGAGGAAGUGCAUCCGAAACUGGCAAGCUUGAGUACUUAAGAGGAUCGCGGAAUUCCCGGUGUAGAGGUGAAAUGCGUAGAUAUCUGGAGGAACACCGGUGGCGAAGGCGGCGUUCUGGACUGCAACUGACACUGAUGAACGAAAGCCAGGGGAGCAAACGGG
rnacentral:rRNA from 1 species